GAAAAUUUGGCAAAAAUAGAGCCGGUCGGCGUCGGCAGCGGUGACGUCACGCGUCAUCCCGGUCCAGGUUAAAGCCUAUGUGCGCGUAGGAUCGCUAUCCCGAACGAGGCCGACGCAUCCCCGGGAUUAGUCAUCUGCCGCCGCCGGCCUCCUUAAGUCAACCUUUCAAAAACGCAGCCUUCAAAUCGGCUCGUGGUGUGUUUGCGAAAGAAGUCUUGUUGGAAAAACAACAGCACAAUUUCCUGAAAUCGAAGACUUUGCGAACAAAGUAGAAGAUAAACGGAAUAGGGAACACGGCACCAAUAUGUCGAAUAUGCAAGUAUCUGUGCCCCAACAAAGUGGAGAAAUUGUAUCUGCUAACAGAGAGGAAGACAGUGAAUGUGUAGAGGAAACUACUUU